AGCUCGGGCUGCAGCCUCGCCAGGUGGCCGUCUGGUUCCAGAACCGCCGCGCACGGUGGAAGACCAAGCAGCUCGAGCGCGACUUCGACCGCCUCAAGGACUCCUUCGACGCCCUCCGCGCCGACCACGACGUCCUCCUCCAGGACAACCACCGCCUCCGCUCACAGGUACGGUAACCCUCCUCCUCCUCUCGCUCCUAUCCAUGGCCUCCGAGUACGUUGCUGAUGGAUGAGCCGGCGAUCUGUGCGCUAUUGUUUUGAUUAAGGUGGCGUCGUUGACCGAGAAGCUGCAAGAGAAGGAGGUGACGGACGGCGCUGGCGCCGACGCCGCGGUGUUGCCGGUGGAUGUCAAGGCCUCCCUGGCCGAUGACAUCGAGGAGCCGGCCGCGGCCGCGGAGGAGGCGGCGUUCGAGGCGCAGCAGGUGAAGUCCGAGGACAGGCUGAGCACGGGCAGCGGCGGGAGUGCGGUGGUGGACGCGGACGCGCUGCUGUGCGGCCGGUUCGCCGCCGCCGUCGACAGCAGCGUGGAGUCCUACUUCCCCGGCGGCGAGGACCACUACCACGACUGCGGGAUGGGCCCCAUGAACCCCUGCGCGGGAGGGAUCCAGUCGGACGAUGACGGCGCGGGCAGCGACGAGGGGUGCAGCUACUACCCCGAAGACGAAGCAGCCGCCGCCGCCGCGCUCUUCGCCGGACACGCCAACCCCCACGCCGCCGAGGACGAGGACGCCGGACAGAUCAGCUGGUGGAUGUGGAACUAGGCAUUCCGCAUUCUUCCCGCGCCGAUCGACCGUCAAAUUGAUCUUGUGUUGUCAAGAACUCGUACCUCUGUUUUCUUUCGCAACGUUGCUGUAAUAUGGUGAAUUCCUAGCUACUGUUUGAUUAUGGAGAAGGUGUAUG
rnacentral:lncRNA from 1 species